rnacentral:rRNA from 1 species
GACGAACGCUGGCGGCGUGCUUAACACAUGCAAGUCGAACGGAAAGGCCCUGCUUUUGUGGAGUGCUCGAGUGGCGAACGGGUGAGUAACACGUGAGUAACCUGCCCUUGACUUUGGGAUAACUUCAGGAAACUGGGGCUAAUACCGGAUAGGAGCUCCUGCUGCAUGGUGGGGGUUGGAAAGUUUCGGCGGUUGGGGAUGGACUCGCGGCUUAUCAGCUUGUUGGUGGGGUAGUGGCUUACCAAGGCUUUGACGGGUAGCCGGCCUGAGAGGGUGACCGGCCACAUUGGGACUGAGAUACGGCCCAGACUCCUACGGGAGGCAGCAGUGGGGAAUAUUGCAUAAUGGGCGGAAGCCUGAUGCAGCAACGCCGCGUGCGGGAUGACGGCCUUCGGGUUGUAAACCGCUUUCGCCUGUGACGAAGCGUGAGUGACGGUAAUGGGUAAAGAAGCACCGGCUAACUACGUG